rnacentral:rRNA from 1 species
CAGCGCCGCGGUAAUACGUAGGUGGCAAGCGUUGUCCGGAAUUAUUGGGCGUAAAGGGCUCGCAGGCGGUUUCUUAAGUCUGAUGUGAAAGCCCCGGCUCAACCGGGGAGGGUCAUUGGAAACUGGGAAACUUGAGUGCAGAAGAGGAGAGUGGAAUUCCACGUGUAGCGGUGAAAUGCGUAGAGAUGUGGAGGAACACCAGUGGCGAAGGCGACUCUCUGGUCUGUAACUGACGCUGAGGAGCGAAAGCGUGGGGAGCGAACAGGAUUAGAUACCCGCGUAGUCCCUGUCUCUUAUACAC